rnacentral:sRNA from 1 species
ACUCAACACUUAUUCUUUAAGAAGGGUGUCGUUUUAAUUGUAAAAGCAAGCCGCCACUUUAUUGUGAAGCGGAUCCUUGAUCAGUUAAGCAGCCCUAAACCUGUUAUAACGGAGUUU